GACGUAGGGUGCGAGCGUUGUCCGGAUUUAUUGGGCGUAAAGAGCUCGUAGGCGGCUCGUCGCGUCUGCCGUGAAAACCCGCAGCUCAACUGCGGGCUUGCGGUUGAUACGGGCGGGCUGGAGUUCGGUAGGGGAGACUGGAAUUCCUGGUGUAGCGGUGAAAUGCGCAGAUAUGCGGAGGAACACCGAUGGCGAAGGCAAUCCCCUGGGCCUGCACUGACGCUGAGGCACGAAAGCGUGGGGAGCAAACAGG
rnacentral:rRNA from 1 species